CCCUCAUUCAAACAUUUCCCUCAUAUGAGCUAGUAGGCCCCGCCACGCCGAAAAUCGCCUUCGGCGGUGGCGGACGUCCAAAACCUACAAUCCUCACAUCAAUGAAACCGUCUUCGUCUCCUCUACCCUAAUCCACCCUCGCUUUCUUCCAAUUCUCAACCAAACAUUCAAACCGAAGCCAAUUGCACAUGAACCCUAAUUCACUAAAACAAUAAUUAAACACAAGUAUGGAGGAAUCAAAGCCUAAUUCCUUAGCGUUUAGAUUCCUCAGGUAAAACCUCACAUGGAUGCAACAAGAAUAAGGGAAAAUGAAGGAGUAAUGAGGAGAUCCUACAUACAAGGACGAGUUAUUCCCCGGUUAGUAUUGAAUUUGACACAAAUGAAGAUGAGGACAAAGAAACUGCAUGUAAGCUUCAAUCUCACCAUUUCUUCCAUUCAAUUAUUUCCUCUUCUUCUUAAACUCUUUAGCCUGUAGGAUUGCUUCUUGUUGUUGUGUUCUUAUUUUUGUUGUGAUGAGUGAUGGAAAGUGAUUAAGGUGAGGUUCAAAGCUCAACUAUUUAAAGCUUUAAGUGUUGAAGCUCUAACAACAAUGAGAAGAGCUUGUGGUGAGGGUGAGGGAAUGGUUUAGAGUGAGAGAGAAAAUCCAUAGUUCUAAGGUGAUGAUUAUGAUAAUGAUCCCUCCUAAUUGAAUAAUGGAGUGUGUAACACCCUAAAAUUUUCCCUCCUCAUUCAUGCAUUCACUUUUAGGUCAUUUAACAUUUCAUAUUGCAUUUCAUCAUGUCAAUCAGAAUCAGAUCCAAGAAGCUUGAAUAUCAUCCAAGACACUUUGUGGGUUCUAUCCGGAUGAUCAGUCAACACAAGGGAAAAACUUGAGUUACUUACAACAGGUUCAAAUGGGGUCUAUUCAUCAUUCAAAACGCUAAUCUUGAAGGAGCAAAAUUCUGUUCCUGAGUUGUCAUGCUCGCUAGGCGAACAACAUGGUUCGCCUAGCGAACCUUGAACUGUCAUGCUCGCUAGGCGAAGCCCACGCGUUUUUGAAAUAUAUCAGAAAAAUCUUGGGCUUGAGUUGCCCUCAUUUGAGCCCACAAAGCCACGAAAAUCAGGUUAUAAAUACUAGAGUUUCAGUGGAACAAAAGACUGAAGAAAAAAAAGGGGAGAAAAAGAGGAGACCUACGAACUAAUCUGCAGCAGCCUCCAGACAGCUCUGAAAAGUUCACUCUGACUCACACACUUUUGCACCUCCAUCUCACGCAAACCCUAACGUUGCUUUGCAAACCCAGCCGUGCCAUUCGAUUUCAAUUGAUCUCUCCAAUCAGGUUUACCCUAUUUUCGCUGCUUUUAUGCUUUCAAUUUGAAUUCUCUGAAUGUAUGGGGUUUCAUUGGGUUUUGCCCACGGGUUUAGAUAUACAUAAAUGUAGAACAAUACCUUGAAUGUUCAAUCGUUUCGUUUCUGAGAUGGAGGCCAUAGGGUUUGGGUUACCGAGAUCAGACUAUUAUCAAUGAAGAACCCAAAACCCGCAGGCCUUCGCUAGCAUCUUCGCUAGGCGAGCCUGCAGUGAAGCUUCGCUAAGCCUUUGCUAGGCGAAGCAGUAGCGAGCGUGACAGUAAUUGAUUUUUUUCUGUUUGCUCUAAUCUAUUUUGUGUUCGUCAUGGCAUGUUUUCUCCUGAUUCCAUCCUGUUACUCUAACCUGUUUGUUGAGUUUUUGUGAGAGCUCACCUGACCCCUGAAGAGAUAGCUUGCUUAGUAUCCCACUUUAUUUGUGGGAUACCAUUUGGAGAUUUAUUCCGAUCACCUGUGCUGACUUGCUUUCUUUGGUGGUGCUAGCUUGAGAGAUCUCUGGGUUUCUUAUUUCUUUAGUUGCUCUUACUUCGGAUCUUUAUCCGUGCGGUAGAUCUCUUGAUCCCUUUUACAUUUUUCCCGCAUUUUACCGCUUUCUUAGCUGGAAGACCUCGAUAGGAGGCAAUGUUUUCGUGUGUUUACUUUUGUGCCCAAAGACCUCCCAGAAGAGGCACUAGUGCUAAAGACCUCCAUGAAGAGGCAAUUGACGAAAAAAGGGAUUAGUAGUCAAUCCCCCGUUAUUCAGUGCGUCGUUCUUUAAGAUCACACUACGUGUCGAUGCUUCAGAACAAAAGCCCAAGAUCUUUUGUCCGGUCGGUCAGUGGAGAGGGUUCCAUCCCCCACGCCUUGUCAUGAGCUCACCCUGUUCAAGGGUUUAAGAGCUAUAGGUCUUAUUACCCUUUUGAUCUGCUCACCCUGACGUUCAGUGUCAGUGGUUAAGAGCCCGUUUGAUUACCCUUCCAUGGCUUGUUUGUCGAGGUUGAUAUGACCCCUCUUGACUAAAGCCCUACCCAUAUAUGUUUGAGCCCCCCUGGUUUGUGUGUUUACUUUAUGCAUGUCUGUUUUGUAUGGUGUGCUCGUCUCCCCGUAGGAUUGCUAGGCUUCGUAUAGUCUCCUAUUUGCAUGUCAAUUAAGGUAGCACGGUUCCUUCGUCUAGGACUUCCUCUUGCGUGAGCAUUCCUAAAACGCAAACAAACCCAUUGUUUUUUUUUCUUCUCCUAAAAACACGUUCACUCCUUCUACUACAGGCGAGUAAGUCUCCAAAGGUCGAGCAUCCGAUAGAUUGCGCAGUAACGUCGUUCGUCCAAAACAAACCCCUAGCUGGCCGAACUACGUUUUGCUCUGAUUCUCAUUCCAGAUGAGAUAUGUAGGCAUAAGACGCGAUGUCUUAGCGAGCACACAUCCCUCUAACCCAUAGGUAGCCGAGCUACGAAGACUCUGAUUCUCAUAUUCAUAUGAGAUACGUAUGUAGUGGAUGCGACAUCCGUGCGAGUCAUUUUCUUUUGACCCCUCUUUUAGAUUUAUCAUGUAAUCUUAAACCCACACCCUUUAGACAAGAACAAUAAGAGUGGAUCUCGUAGAGUACUACGGAUGCGUAGGGGUGCUAAUACCUUCCCUUCGCAUAAUCGACUCCCGAACCCAAGAUUUGGUUGCGAGGCCUUGUCUUUUCCUUUCCUUUUUCCAGGUUUACUUCGAGCGUUUCCUUUCCCUCCCUUUGGGAUAAAUAACGCAUGGUGGCGACUCUUCUGUCAUUUCUUUUUCGCCGGUUGUUUUUUUUUCGCAGGUUGCGACAGCUGGCGACUCUGCUGGGGACUAUGGUUUCCCUAAGCGAGUCCCUCUUAGCUUUUGUAGGUUCUUUGUUUGUUGGGUGUUUAUUCUUUUGUACAGUUGUUUAUUCACCUGCUUUACCUUAUUGCAUGCAUGUACAUAUGUCUGCUGUAUCUGUGGGUUCUGUGGUUGUUUGUUUGUUUGUUGGGGUGGGAUGUUCUAUGAGAGAUAAGCCCACUACCCAGGCUUGAGAGUACACACAGGUUUUAGAGUGGAUAGUCAUGAGGCUUGCGUGGCAUGUUGCCACGUUAAGUCGUUCAUGAGACCCACAUUCCAGACGAGGUUUCCGUUGGAUAUAUUUUGUCCUAUGGGUGUUCCAUAACGACAGAAUGUUCCUCUAGAAAUCGUCGACUCUGGUGACCAUUUCCCGAGAACUCAGUCGAGGCCUCUCCUCCGAGAUGUGGUUAUGUUAGCUCUGGUGGGCGCAUUCUCGCUGCUCAAUCCGAGAACCCUGAGACUGGGGAACUUGCUUUAGGGUAUCCUGUUGAGGGGAGUCAGUGGAGGUCUUUUAUCCCGUAAUAAUGCCAAACCUUCAGUGGUAAACGUAUUAUUCUCGACUGAAGGGCUGAAGCGGACGAACUUCUGUUCUUAGAACCCACCAGUAAGGGGCGGGCUAAAUUCAGGAAACCUUAACCUUCAACCAACCCAGUUUUCUGGAGCAGAGUUUUGGUCUUGUAUUAUAUUCCUCAGUGGGUUUCUCUUCAGACAGUGCAACCCGACAGAUGUUCAAGCAGAUACAACAAUCUUGAUUGACAUGUCACUGCAUUGCAUUACAUCAUCUUGCAUGCAUAUCAUUUAAUACAUGUUUAUCUAUUCCCAGGGGUUUAUAUCUUCUACUUGAUUCUAGUCGGAAUUUUCUGGUUCUCAUCAACGGCUUAGUCUUUUUUUACAUUGUUCAUCUAUUGCAGACCGGAAUCAAGGGGUUAGAAUACCCUUUGGAAUUGAUAAACAUGUCCUUUGCAUUGCAUAACAUCAUCUGCAUAUUUGCAUCCAACAUCUCAUGCUUAUUCAUUUGCAAGGUCUUCCCUUUCUCGGUUUGGUUUGGCUGAUCUGUGCUUAUUAUGAAAGCUCCCAGGAAGAGUAAUGUGACCUAUCACUUUUUUGAUACUAAGAUCGGCCCAUUGCGUCAGAUAAAAGCUUUGAUUACUCCUGACCAUGUGGGUUUAUUCCGAGAUACUUAUGGCAACAUCUUACCUAUGGUUGAAGACUUGGAUGCUUCUCAGAGGAGUCUGAUACUAUUUGCACGUUCAAUUGUAGUUGUACACGUUGUUCUGGAAGGUCAAACCGGAAUUGAGAAGGGAAUGCCUUAAAGUUGAAUAAGCAGUGCAUCGCAUACCAUGCAUAUUAACCCUUGUUUGUUUUGCAGGUGUCACCGCAGUGUCUAAAGUUUGUUCCCUGUGUGUGGCAUUAUUGGUCCCAAGCGAGUCCACAAGUACCCGACAAAGGAAAAUCGUCCGCAACUAGCGAUGGACCAGGUACAGAAAGAGCUGGCUGAUAUGCGUGAAAGGAUGGAUCAGUUCAUGACAUUGAUGACUGGUAUGGCAGAAGGCCAGGAAAAGCUGAGGGAAUUGGUUGAGCAACCGAGACCCGAUCCAGAGUUGGAGAUACCAAAUGCUGAGGGAAACCCUGGUAACCCUGGGAACGCUGAUAACCCUGUGAACACUGGUAACGCGGGUAACGCAAAUGCUGAUGGAAACCCGGGUAAUGUUGGCAACACAGGGAAUGUUGGAAAUGGUAUUGGCGGAAGGUACAAUGUGAAUCAAGGAAUUCGGAUUAACGGGCGCCCCGUUACUGAAGAUUGUCAGUAUGAUCAAUUUUCUUUGCACGACGAAGCCCUCGAGACCACUCGCCGUAUGGAUGAGCUUGCUGAGAAGCUCAAAUCUUUGGAGUCUCAAAAUUCCUUAGGUUUUGAUGUCACAAAUCUUGGUCUGGUUCAGGGAGUAAGGAUCCCUCACAAGUUCAAACCCCCUACUUUUGAAAAAUACAACGAGGCUUCUUGCCCACGCACUCAUCUCCAAUCUUAUUUGGGAAGGUUGGGAGCUCACACGGAAGAUGAAAAGUUGUGGAUGUACUAUUUUGAAGAUAGUCUAACUGGAGCUUCUCGUGAAUGGUAUUCCCAUUUGUCUCUUACUACCAUCAAGAGCUGGAAAGACUUGGCGGAGGCUUUUGUCAAGCAAUAUCAAUACAACUUGGACAUGGCUCCAAAUCGGACCUUAUUGCAAGGAAUGUCUCAAACUGCCAAGGAGACCUUUAGAGAAUAUGCUCAGCGUUAGAGACAGAUUGUUGCGUCCGUCCAACCCCCUAUGUCUGAAAGGGAGAUGGCGGACAUGUUCAUGAACACUCUUCAAGGCAAUUAUAUUGAGAGAUUGGCUGCUUGCCCGUCAAUCAGCUUUGCAGAGAUAGGGAUUGCUGGAGAAAGGAUCGAGAGUCUGUUGAAGAUGGGCCGAAUUCAAGACAAUAGUGCUUCCAACUCAUCAGGUCCCAAGAAACCGUUUGCUGGUAACGGUCAGCGAAGAAGAGAAGGCGAGACAAGCGUUGUGUAUGCCGGCAGAGGCAGGGGCAGAGGACGCCCUAAUUAUUAUCAAGAUCAAGUGGCUGCAGUCACUAUUCCAACACCUGCUCCUCAACAGCAAUAACAACCGCAGUAUCAUCCGCAAUAGCAACCCAGGUACAACAAUCAACAACAAGGAGGUAAUCCGAGUCAGCAGAGACACUAUCAACAACGUCCAAGGCAGACGGACCGGGUCAUUGAGCCAAUCCCAAUGCCUUAUUCUGUAUUACUUCCCAGGCUGAUUGACCUGAAUCUGGUUAGGUUAAGAACUCUGGCCCCACCAAUCGAUCCCAAUAAUUUGCCUAGACGUUAUGAUGUCAACGCCAGAUGUGCUUUUCACUCCAACGCACCUGGCCAUACUACAGAUAAUUGCAAGGCUUUCCAGCUGAAGGUACAAGAUCUGAGAGAUGCCAAGGCUAUCAAUUUUUCUCCGGUGCCUAAUGUUAUCCAAAACCCGAUGCCAGCCCACGGCGGGCAGAGGAUUAAUGCUGUUGAUAGUGGGGAAACUUUGAAUUUGGUUUCUGAUGUUAAUGUUAUCCAAAACCCGAUGCCAGCCCACGGCGGGCAGAGGAUUAAUGCUGUUGAUAGUGGGGAAACUUUGAAUUUGGUUUCUGAUGUGACUAAAGUGAAGACUUCGCUAUCGGUGGUUAAAGACCAACUCUUGAAAUGACAGAUUUUCCCGGGCUGUGGGGAAGAGUGCAGAAAUUGUCAAGCUGCCGAGAACGGAUGUGACAGUUUGAGAAGAGGUAUUCAGCAACUGAUAGAUGAAGGUUAUCUUCAGUUCGAUCAGACCCGUCCAGUGAAGAAUGAUGUGUCGAUAGUGACGAUUUAUUUCACUCUUGAAGAAAUAUAUGUUCCCGAGAGGCCCGCUCCGACAACAAUAUAUUUCCCAGAAAGUACAGAACCAACAACGGUGAACAUCGAAAGUCCAACACCAGUUAUGAUUUACUCUGACAGCCCUCAACCGGCUUUUCCGGUCACCAUCACGAUACCAGGACCUGUUCCGUAUGAGAAAGACAGUGCUAUCCCGUGGCACUAUGGGGCUGAUAUCUACUUCCAGAGGUGGAAAGUUAAUAAAGAAGACGUUGACAUUGGUAGCCCCGCUGUAGACAAUGUUGGAGGGGUUGGUGGCUUCACUCGCAGUGGACGCCUAUUUGCACCCUCAACAUUGCGCACGAAUACUGAAGCUGAGGCAGCUGCCAGGGCUAAAGGAAAACAGGUAGCCACCGAAGAGGUUACUACGGAGGAAGCUCCUCCUAAGACCACAUUCGAGAAGGAAGUGGAUGAGUUUAUGAGGAUUAUCAAGAAGAGUGACUACAAGGUAGUCUACUUGCUAAAUCAGACACCCUCAAAGAUCUCUAUUCUCUCAUUAUUUAUGUGCUCUGAGGCGCACAUAGCAGCCUUGUUGAAAGUUUUGAAUAUAGCCUAUGUUCCACCAGAGAUAACUGUUAACCAGCUGGAGUCGGUAGUUUCAAAUGUAAACGCUAGCCAUGGGCUAGGUUUCACCGAUUAUGACCUGACAUCUGAGGGCAGGAAUCACAACAAAGCUUUCAUAUCAGCAAUGGAAUGCAAAGGGGCAGUGCUUUCCCAUGUUUUGGUUAUACAGGCCUUCUUCUCUAAAUUCUUGCCAAGAAGCCCUUAAUGAAAGUUGGAUUGCGAUGGCAUCAUCCUGAGGCCAAAGUAAUUUAGUUUAAGAUAGAAUAGCUGCUAAGAAGAUCUGUUUGGCGAAGUUGAGUUGCCGAGUUAAGAUUGGAACCGCAGUGUUCAAGGGCAGCCUUUUUAUGUGAUGGAUAUCCAUAUCCAGCCGGCCUAUAGUGUCUCUAGGUGCGGCCUGGUUCUUGAUGCCGUGCUGUUACUUCUACUCUCCACCAGAAGCUCAAAAUAUGAACUGAAGGUCAGGUCGUCACUGUCUGUGGUGAAGAGGAUAUUUUUGUUAGCCACCUGUCUACAUUUAAGUAUGUGGAGAUGGAUGGCGAGAUGCAUGAGAUGCUGUGUCAGGGCUUCGAAGCCAUAAACAUCAGUGAGGUCUCACCCGAAGCUGUCUUUUCACCUAAGUCUGAGAAGGUCGGGACUUCUAUCUCUUCAUACAAGCAAGCUGUUGAGGUGGUUAAAGCUGGUAAUGCCCAAGGCUGGGGAAAAUUUGUGGAGCCGAUCAUCAAAGAAGACAAGUUUGGAUUAGGGUAUACUCCGGGGUCUCAGAAGAAUAAAGUCGGUACUUUCUCCAGCGGGGGUUUGGUUUCUCCCCACAUCGUCAAUGCUGCAGAUGAAGACAAGGCUGACAGCGACUGUGACGUAGAUAGCUGGAUUCGCCCGUGUGUCCCGAGAGAAAAGCUCAACAAUUGGUCGUCUGAAAAAGUCGUCCGAGUUACUCUACUGAAAGAGUAAUUUUUAUUGUUUUCCUUUUAUUACAACGUAUUAUUUCAGAAUGUGAAACGGGUUCCACAUUACUGUCAUCUGUAGGGCCAUCCAUUUAGUUACAUUUCACAAUUAUUUUCAUCAUCAAUAAAGGACAGCUUUUGCAAACAAUUUUGUGUUCUUUUUCUUUCAAUUUUUUUUUACAGAAAAAACAAUAAAAAAUGGCAAUGUUUCUUUUCCGUUUUUCUUUCCAAAAAAAAAAAAUCUCGUUCUAAAGCAAAGCAUGAUCCUCCAUCAUGCAGAGAUGAUCACCCGGAUCUCACUGCUAACGACACUGCUAUGGCCAAGUAUGACUUCGACAAUCCUGUCUAUCAAGCCGGAGAAGGGGUCGAAACAGGAGGACCGAGCUAUUACACCUUAUCAGGAGGUGAUUGAGACUGUCAACAUCGGUACCGAAGACGACAAGAAAGAGAUCAAGAUCGGGGCCAGUCUACAGGCCGAGGUGAAAGAACAGUUGGUCAGUAUGCUUCGUGAGUACGUCGACAUCUUUGCUUGGUCCUAUCAAGAUAUGCCAGGUUUGAUACAGACAUCGUUAUGCCACAGGUUUACAUUGAAUAAGAUUAUGGCCGCGCCGGUGAAGCAGAAGUUAGCCGAACUCAUCCUGACAUGGCAAUGAAAAUCAAAAGAGAAGUUCAGAAAAGUGGGACGCAGGUUUCCUCCGUUGUGGCCAGUUACCACAUGGGUGCCAAUGAUCUUACAGUACCCAAGAAGAUGCAAAGUACGGAAUGUGCGUCGAUUACAGAGAUCUGAAUAGAGCUAGUCCGCAAACGACUUCGCCAUUACCUCAGCAUCGAAUGUUUUGUUGAUAACCAAUUCAGUUCUCCGUAUAUCUUUCCUUGGAGGUUUUCCGGUUAUAAUCAGAUCACGGAGUGGCACCGGAAGACAUGGGGAAAUGACUUCAUCACAUCAUGGGGUACUUCUGGUUACAAGGUAUGCUUUUUGGGUUGAAGAACGCCGGGGAAACGUACCAACGGGCCUAUGGUUAAACUUUUUCAUGAUAUGGAUUUCACAAAGAGAUGAAUGCUAGUGAUGAUAUGAUUGCCAAGUCCCAAACAGAAGAAAACAUCUGGACAAUCUGCAAAAGUUGCUAUUGAACAUCUGAGAAAGUAAAGUUAAGGGUGAAUCCGAACAAUGCACUUUUGAGUGCGAACUGGUAAGCUGUUAGGUUUCAUUGUAAGUGAAGACGGAAUAAGGUAGAUCCUCGCGAAGUAAAAGCUAUUCAAGAAAUUGCCUGCACCAAAAUAGAAGAGAGUUCGUGGCUUCCUGGCAGAUUGAAGCUCAUUUUUCAGGUUCAUAUUAAUCUUAAUAGCCACAUGCUAGCCGUUCAAGCUGAGAAAACGAGCAAGGGGUCAGGUGGAUGAAUGAUGUCAGAAAUCCUUUGAAAGGAAUAAAAGAGUAUUUGCAGAGCCCCCGAUUCCUAAUGCCUCCAGUAGAGGGAAGACCGUUGAUCAUGUACUGACUGUGUUAGAAAGGUCAAUGGGUGUGUGCUUCGGUCAGCAUGCGAUCAGGUCGAAAAGAGCAUGCAAUAUACUACUUAGCAAAAGUUUCGCGACUGUGAACAAAGAUACUCACGCUCGAGAAAACUUGCUGCGCUUUGGCAUGGCUGCUCGCCGAUUAAGACAGUAUAUUGUUGACUCACACGACUCUAUUAACAAAGAUGGAUCAAUCAAGUAAUUUUUGAAAAGCCACGGGCUACCCGAAGGGUUUGCCUAGGUGGCAAAUGAUACUGAUAGAAGUAUGCAUCCAAUACACUUCGCAGAAAGCCAUCAAAGAAGUGUCUUGUCAGACACUUGUAGAGCGAACGAUUGAUGAUUACCAAAUCUAUAGGUUUCGACUUUCCUUGACUGAGGACAUAUGUUUCCAAUCGAAGAUUGCGAGGAACCACUGCCGAGGAGGGCCUUACCCUAUCCAAAUGGAUUAUGAUGAUUUUUUUUUUUUUUUUUUUUUUUUUUUUUUUUUUUUUUUUUUUUGACUGGGGCGUCACGUCAACUAGGUUGCGGAGUUGGUGCAACGUGUUUGAUCACCGCCGAGGGAGGUUCAUAUGCCAUUUUGGUGCCAUAAUAACUUUGCCGCUACCCAACAUGAAGCCGAGUAUGGAAUAACUUGUAUCCUAGGACUUGAAGGAACCAUCAACCUAACGGAUUAAAAGCUGGAUGUUACGGGGAUUCAACUUGGUCAUUCAAUCAAACAACGGAAUGGUAUAGCCCACAGCUCAUUUGGUUCCUAUACAGAACUACACGAGAAGAUUGUGACUUCUUUACGAUCGGUGAAGCUGGCUUACAUUCCCUACGUGAAGAAACCAAUUUUGUUGAUCGCUUUGGCUACCUUGUCUUCGAUGAUUAGUGCUGUAUUGCAACUACGUACCUAGAAUUGAUUAUCUUCUGCUUGAUAUACCCGCUAUGUGUUGGCUGCCGAUGCAGUAUAUCGUGAUGUGAAGCCGUGGUACAAUGACUCAAGCGUUUCCGAAGAGUCAAGAUACCCAAUCGAGGCGUCUUCGAAUGAUGCGUGGGAGUCCGGUAGCUUCUUUCUGAACUCAGAUGAUACUCUGUACAAGCGAAAUUUCGACAUGGUCUUGCUCAGAUGUGUGGACAAGCAGGAAGCGGACAUGUUAAUGCAAGAAGUAAAUGAGGGAUCUUUCGGUACCCAUGCCGAAGGACAUGCAAUGGCUAAGAAGCUGUUAAGAUCGGGGUAUUAUUGGUUAACAUGCAGGCAGACUGUUACGCAUACGCCCGAAAGUGUCACAAGUGCCAGAUUUACGCAGAUAAAGUACAUAUCCCUCCCAGCCCUUUGAAUGUCAUGUCGUCACCUUGGACUUUUGCAAUGUGGGGCAUUGAUAUGAUUGGCAAGAUCGAACCGACUGCUUCCAACGGCCAUAGAUUCAUUUUGGUCGCUAUUAAUUACUUCACUAAGUGGGUGGAAGCAGCAUCCUAUGCGAAUGUUACGAAGCAGGUGGUAGCCAGAUUUCUGAAAAGAGAUAUCAUCUGCAGAUACGGAGUUCCCGAGCGGAUCAUUACUGAUAAUGGUUCGAAUCUCAAUAACAAAAUAAUGGCAGAGCUUUGCCGGGACUUCAAAAUCGAGCAUCACAAUUCUUCUCCUUACAGGCCAAAGAUGAAUGGCGCUGUUGAGGCAGCUAACAAGAAUAUUAAGAAGAUUGUGCAAAAGAUGGUGGUAACAUACAAGGACUAGCAUGAGAUGUUACCAUUCGCAUUACAUGGGUAUCGAACUUCAAUUAGAACAUCCACCGGGGCAACACCUUAUCAGCUUGUAUAUGGCAUGGAAGCAGUUCUUCCGGUCGAAGUCGAAAUUCCUUAUUUGCGGGUCCUGACGGAUGUUAAGCUGGACGAAGCAGAAUGGGUCCGUUCUCGAUACAAUCAACUGAGCCUAGUUGAGGAAAAUAGACUAGCAGCUAUAUGCCAUGGCCAAUUAUAUCAGAGACGAAUGAAGAGAGCAUUUGAUCAGAAAGUGCGCCCUCGGGAGUAUCAAGUCGGUGAAUUGGUACUCAAAAGAAUUCUUCCUCACAACACAGAUCACAGGGGCAAAUGGACACCGAACUAUGAGGGUCCAUACGUGGUUAAAAGGGUUUUCUCUGGCGGAGCUUUGAUGCUAACAACCAUGGAUGGCGAAGACUUCCCAUCCCCUGUCAACUACGUGGUUAAAAGGGUUUUCUCUGGCGGAGCUUUGAUGCUAACAACCAUGGAUGGCGAAGACUUCCCAUCCCCUGUCAACUCAGACGCAGUUAAAAAAUACUUCGCAUAAUUGACCCGCUGGACAAAGGAAAAGGAGUCCAGGCAAAAAAGGGGCAUCCCGGUGAACCAAGAGAAAAAAAACAGAAUAAAGAGGUUCAGGCAAAAAUUAGGGAUAUAAAAAAGAAAAUGUACACCCGGUGAGUCGAAGACCCGAAAGGGCGGCUCAGGCAAAAAAAGGUAUCCCGGUGGAUUGAAAACCCAAAAGGGCGGUCCACGCAAAAGAGGGAAUAAGCGAAUGACUGUAAUAUGAGUUUAAUCCAUGUUAUAUCACCGUUUCAUGCAAUCCGGCAAUCUUCGAAGGUUAAAGACCGACUAAUCAUCCACUUCAGAAAGCAAGAUGAGCAUAGCGUCUUGAGGUCAUACGAGCCAUAGCAGAGUCGAAACUCAGUGGGACCCCGUAUCCACAUUGCCAUUAGGAUAGUUUCUUUUGUUCAAUUUAUAGCGAUCGCCUCUUUUCAGGGAUCAGCUUCCUUGGGACCCCGUAUCCACAUUGCCAUUAGGAUAGUUUCUUUUGUUCAAUUUAUAGCGAUCGCCUCUUUUCAGGGAUCAGCUUCCUGAUGUACUCGCCUAUUCCUGGCACAAAUUUUUCAACCAAUAAAAUUCAAAUAAUUCAGUUAAAGAGCCUCUUUAUUUUUCAUUUAUCAGUUUGUUUGCAAAAGAGGUCUAAAUUCUUGAUUAAACAUAUUGCAUCUGAACAUAAUGGUGGCUUUUGCAGAUGAUUUGCACCGGAAAACAUUUAAAAUUGCUUUGAAUGUGCUUAAUCCCGGACAGUGAAUUCAAACCGAGUAAUUCCCCCGGGACAAACGUGUGUGAUUGCAGGUCACAGGAACCAGAUGCCAAGUCAUGAAUCCUCAAGCGGUUGACAAAGUCUCUCCUCAGCAGAGCAUGUCCCCCAGUAGAGUUGCACCUUGUAUCCCCAACAACAACGGAGUAGUUGCAAACCCAACUGACAAGAGGGUGGUGUCCCUAGUGUUCAUCUCAUUCCCCAGCAGAUUAUUUUUAACAGAUUUAUUUUAAUCCUCAGCCUGAGGACGAUUAGCAAGUUCAUAUCCCCAGCAAAGGUCGAUUCCUACGACAUUUCCCCAGGAAGUGCUCUCCCCGCAGACUCUCCUCACAGAGCCUCGCCAAACAAAGUUCCCAUAGUUGAUACUCCCCCCAGCAAGGUCAACUUUCCAAAAAAAAGAAAGCCGAUUUAUUUUCGGUGGCUCCCCGGCCCCGGCAGACGGAUCAUUCCCCACAGAGCAUUCAAGGAUUGAUACAGCGAUCCGUUCCCCACCGGAGUUUGCUUCCCCAAGUAGAUUUCUUUUUGCACCAUGAAAAACAUUUGCAUUUGCAUGCAUAUCAAGCAUACACAUAAGCUGAUAAACAGGUUCUUCAAAGCAGACCGAAGAAUUACUAGAGAACCAAAGUCAUGAGAUUCAGCCAGAGGAUCGAGUGUGUGUGAUCCAGCAGGAGGGUCAUUUCGAAGAUUCAGCCUGAGAAUCGUUUUCCGAUGAGCCAGCCUAAGGUUCAAUUUGAAGAUUCAGCCAGAGAGUCGCCUACAAGCGUUAUUUCCCCAGCAAGCCAACUAGAGGAGUAGAUUGACAGCUCAACAGAAAAUCAACCUACAAGAGGAUCCAGCCCGCGGAUCGCAAUUUAAAAACAAAGUCUAAUUGAAGAGUCGUUACAACAUGUUCUAGCCUGAAGAAUAUGUACGAAGCCCAAAAAGUGGAAUAUUCUCGAAGCUGCAUAUCUAACAUGAAGAGUGGGUGUAGAUUUCGAAGAAGGGUCAACCAGCGCAUGCCUCAGAUGCGAGAUCCUGAUGAUGGGAAUUUAUCAUCAAAACGAUCCAGAUCUAGCCAGAAGAUCGAAGUCAGGUCUAGCCCGAAGACCGAAAAUAGAUUCAGCCAGAGAAUCAAAGAAAGAAGAUCUAGCAAGAAGAUCGAAGUAGAUCUAGCCAGAAGAUCGAGGUAGAUCUAGCCAGAAGAUCGAAGUCAGGUCUAGCCCGAAGACCAAAAAUAGAUUCAGUCAGAGAAUCAAAGAAAGAAGAUCUAGCCAGAAGAUCGAAGUAGAUCUAGCCAGAAGAUUGAAGUCAUGUCUAGCCAGAAGACAAAAUCGUAUCCAACCCGAGGAUCAAAAUUAAUAUCCAACCAGAGGACUAAAUUGAGUAUAGAUUCAGCCAGAGGAUCGAAACUCCAGAUUAAGUCAAAAGACUGAUUCAGAUUCGGCCAGAGGAUCGGAAGAAAAAUAAACAACACGAUGUAUUUCAACAUUUUUAUGGUGUUCUCAGAGCGCAAAUUUUCGGUCUGUCUUUGGUAUUCAAUCACAGCUCACCCUGUUUGUCUGAUAAGCUGUUUGCUUUCAUCCUGCUCGGGUUAGCUGAUGAUUGAAUAGGGGCAGCUGUAACACCCCAAAAUUUUCCCUCCUCAUUCAUGCAUUCACUUUUAGGUCAUUUAACAUUUCAUAUUGCAUUUCAUCAUGUCAAUCAGAAUCAGAUUCAAGAAGCUUGAAUAUCAUCCAAGACACAUUGUGGGUUCUAUCCGGAUGAUCAGUCAACACAAGGGAAAAACUUGAGUUACUUACAACAGGUUCAAAUGGGGUAUAUUCAUCAUUCACAACGCUAAUCUUGAAGGAGCAAAAAUUUGUUCCUAAGUUGUCAUGCUCGCUAGGCGAGCAGCAUGGUUCGCCUAGCGAACCUUGAACUGUCAUGCUCGCUAGGCGAGCAAAUCCUUCGCUAGGCAAAGCCCAUGCAUUUUUGAAAUAUAUCAGAAAAAUCUUGGGCUUGAGCUGCCCUCAUUUGAGCCCACAAAGCCACGAAAAUCAGGUUAUAAAUACUAGAGUUUCAAUGGAACAAAAGGCUGAAAAAAAGGGGAGAAAAAGAGGAGACCUACGAACUAAUCUGCAGUAGCCUCCAGACAGCUCUGAAAAGUUCACUCUGACUCACACACUUUUUCACCUCCAUCUCACGCAAACCCUAACGUUGCUUUGCAAACCCAGCCGUGCCAUUCGAUUUCAAUCGAUCUCUCCAAUCAGGUUUACCCUAUUUCCGCUGCUUUUAUGCUUUCAAUUUGAAUUCUCUGAAUGUAUGGGGUUUCAUUGGGUUUUUCCCACGGGUUUAGAUAUACAUAAAUGUAGAACAAUACCUUGAAUGUUCAAUCGUUUCGUUUCUGAGAUGGAGGCCAUAGGGUUUGGGUUACCGAGAUCGGACUGUUAUCAACGAAGAACCCAAAACCCGCAGGCCUUCGCUAGCACCUUCGCUAGGCAAGCCUGCAGCGAAGCUUCGCUAAGCCUUUGCUAGGCGAAGCAGUAGCGAGCGUGACAGUAAUUGAUUUUUUUCUGUUUGCUCUAAUCUGUUUUGUGUUCGUCAUGGCAUGUUUUCUCCUGAUUCCAUCCUGUUACUCUAACCUGUUUGUUGAGUUUUUGUGAGAGCUCACCUGACCCCUGAAGAGAUAGCUUGCUUAGUAUCCCACUUUAUUUGUGGGAUACCAUCUGGAGAUUUAUUCCGAUCACCUGUGCUGACUUGCUUUCUUUGGUGGUGCUAGCUUGAGAGAUCUCUGGGUUUCUUAUUUCUUUAGUUGCUCUUACUUUGGAUCUUUAUCCGUGCGGUAGAUCUCUUGAUCCCUUUUACAUUUUUCCCGCAUUUUACCGCUUUCUUAGCUGGAAGACCUCGAUAGGAGGCAAUGUUUUCGUGUGUUUAAUUUUGUGCCCAAAGACCUCCCAGAAGAGGCACCAGUGCUAAAGACCUCCAUGAAGAGGCAAUUGAUGGAAAAAGGGAUUAGUAGUCAAUCCCCCGUUAUUCAGUGCGUCGUUCUUUAAGAUCACACUACGUGUCGAUGCUUCAGAACAAAAGCCCAAGAUCUUUUGUCCGGUCGGUCAGUGGAGAGGGUUCCAUCUUUAUUCAGUGCGUCGUUCUUUAAGAUCACACUACGUGUCGAUGCUUCAGAACAAAAGCCCAAGAUCUUUUGUCCGGUCGGUCAGUGGAGAGGGUUCCAUCUUUCUGAACCCCCACGCCUUGUCAUGACCUCACCCUGUCCAGGGUUAAGAGCUAUGAGGUCUUAUCCUCAUUACCCUUUUGAUCUGCUCACCCUGACGUUCAGUGUCAGUGGUUAAGAGCCCGUUUAAUUACCCUUCCAUGGCUUGUUUGUCGAGGUUGAUAUGACCCCUCUUGACUAAAGCCCUACCCAUAGAUGCUUGAGCCCCCCUGGUUGGUGUGUUUACUUUAUGCAUGUCUGUUUUGUAUGGUGUGAUCGUCUCCCCAUAGGAUUACUAGGCUUCGUAUAGUCUCCCGUUUGCAUGUCAAUUAAGGUAGCACGGUUCCUUCGUCUAGGACUUCCUCUUGCGUGAGCAUUCCUAAAACGCAAACAAACCCAUUGUUUUUUUUCUUCUCCUAAAAACACGUUCACUCCUUCUACUACAGGCGAGUAAGUCUCCAAAGGCCGAGUAUCCGGUAGAUUGCGCAGUAACGUCGUUCGUCCAAAACAAACCCCUAGCUGGCCGAACUACGUUUUGCUCUGAUUCUCAUUCCAGAUGAGAUACGUAGGCAUAAGACGCGAUGUCUUAGCGAGCACACAUCCCUCUAACCCAUAGGUAGCCGAGCUACGAAGACUCUGAUUCUCAUAUUCAGAUGAGAUACGUAUGCAGUGGAUGCGACAUCCGUGCGAGUCAUUUUCUUUUGACCCCUCUUUUAGUAAAUAGUACAUUAGAUAAACCCACACCCUUUAGACAAGAACAACAAGAGUGGAUCCCGUAGAGUACUACGGAUGCGUAGGGGUGCUAAUACCUUCCCUUCGCAUAAUCGACUCCCGAACCCAAGAUUUGGUUGCGAGGACUUGUCUUUUCCUUUCCUUUUUCCAGGUUUACUUCGAGCGUUUCCUUUCCCUCCCUUUGGAAUAAAUAACGCACGGUGACGACUCUUCUGUCAUUUCUUUUUCGCCGGUUGUUUUUUUUUCGCAGGUUGCGACAGAGUGAUGAUUAUAUAGGGCUUGGAAUUGUAAUGGCAUUAAGCUCAGUUAACUCCUAUGUUCAAAGUUUGUUGAAUGUGAUCACUAAACCUCUGUCAAUUAGUUAGUUAGGUCCUUGAAUCAAUUAACUUCUGUUAAAACUCUUAGAAAAUUAUUUUUGUUAGAUGUUAGUUAGUUUUUCAAGUGUAAGUUAGUUGGAUGUUUAAACUCUGUUAUAAAUUUCAUUUAAAUGUUAGUUUGUUCUGUUAGGGACUUUGAAUGCGUGAAUCUGUUAGUUUUAAUUACGUCAAGCUCCAUUGAAUUUAUCUAUGCAAGUUUGUUAUAUGUUAAAUUCUGUUAGAGAAAAAAAUUAGUUUCAGUUAAGUUCAGUUUAGAUGUCAGUUAGGAUGUGAGCUUGUUAUGUUGGUUAUGAGUUAAUUUAAUAAAAACAGUUAGUGUAGGUUAGUUAAAAAAGAGUUAGUGAUAUUGCUCUAUAAAAAAAGAUUUGUUAAGCAUGUUGUUAUGAGCUUUAGUUAGAGUUUAGAAUGGAUUAUGCAAGCUAUUUUCCUCUUAAUUGUGUAUGCGUACAAACUGAUUUGUAUGGUUGUUAGGAUGCUAGGAUUGUGAUGUUAUUUGAAUGAAAUUGAAGUGAGUUAAUGGUGUUAGUGAUGUGUUUGUACAUGCUGCUUUGGAUAUGAUGAUAUUUGUUUUGAAACUCUGUUAGAAUGGGUUAACUUGUUAAAUUUCGGUUAAUGGGUGGUGUCUGAAAUCGGUUAUGGUUAGUAGGUUAGUUAUAUCUAAUUGUUAAAUUUUGUUAGAUUAAUGUUGCAUUUGGGAAGCUAGCCUUGUUAGUUGAUAUAAUGCAGCCAUGAACUGAUACAUUUGAAUGUUUCUGCUUCUUGUCACAUUUAAAUUUGGAGCAAGAAGUUGUAUGUCAUUAAGACUUACUUAUCCAAUUGACUAUUGCAGAACGUAAUGCUAGGUUAGCAACUGAAAUUUUAAUGUCCUCAUGUCAAAUUAUGUUGCAUGCUAUUGAAGUGUUGUAAUAUGCAUUGACCAUCUGUCACGCUGCGAAAAAUACAGAGUCUCCAUCAAAUUUUA
rnacentral:lncRNA from 1 species